rnacentral:rRNA from 1 species
CCUACGGGAGGCAGCAGUGAGGAAUAUUGGUCAAUGGGCGCGAGUCUGAACCAGCCAAGUCGCGUGAGGGAGGACGGCCCUACGGGUUGUAAACCUCUUUUGCCGAGGAGCAACGGGCGUCACGUGUGGCUCCACUGAGAGUACCCGGAGAAAAAGCAUCGGCUAACUCCGUGCCAGCAGCCGCGGUAAUACGGGGGGUGCGAGCGUUAUCCGGAUUUAUUGGGUUUAAAGGGUGCGUAGGCGGAUCGUUAAGUCAGUGGUUAAAUUUGGGGGCCCAACCCCCUCCCCCCAAUUGAAACGGGCGGUCUUGAGUGGAAGAGAGGUAUGCGGAAUGCGUGGUGUAGCGGUGAAAUGCAUAGAUAUCACGCAGAACCCCGAUUGCGAAGGCAGCAUGCCGGCUUCCGACUGACGCUGAAGCACGAAAGCGUGGGGAUCGAACAGGAUUAGAUACCCCAGUAGUC